ACCCAUAGACCAACUUUUGGGGAGUGAC
rnacentral:sRNA from 1 species